rnacentral:rRNA from 1 species
AUACGGAGGGUGCGAGCGUUAAUCGGAAUUACUGGGCGUAAAGCGUGCGUAGGCGGUUUGCUAAGUCAGAUGUGAAAGCCCCGGGCUUAACCUGGGAACUGCAUUUGAUACUGGCAGACUAGAGUAUGAUAGAGGGGGGUAGAAUUCCUGGUGUAGCGGUGAAAUGCGUAGAUCUCAGGAGGAAUACCAGUGGCGAAGGCGGCCCCCUGGAUCAAUACUGACGCUGAGGUACGAAAGCGUGGGGAGCGAACAGGAUUAGAAACCCCAGUAGUCC